rnacentral:rRNA from 1 species
AGUAGGGAAUAUUGCGCAAUGGACGAAAGUCUGACGCAGCAACGCCGCGUGGGUGAUGAAGCAUCUUGGUGUGUAAAACCCUGUCAGUGGGGAAGAACCGUACAAGUAGUAACUGACUUGUACCUGACGGUACCCGCAGAGGAAGUCCCGGCUAACUCCGUGCCAGCAGCCGCGGUAAUACGGGGGGGACGAGCGUUGUUCGGAUUUACUGGGCGUAAAGGGCGCGUAGGCGGACUUUCAAGUCGGAUGUGAAAACUGGCGGCUCAACUGCCAGCCUGCAUCCGAUACUGUUGGUCUUGAGUGCAUGAGAGGAAAGCGGAAUUCCAGGUGUAGCGGUGGAAUGCGUAGAUAUCUGGAGGAACACCAGUAGCGAAGGCGGCUUUCUGGCGUGUUACUGACGCUGAAGCGCGAAGGCUAGGGGAGCAAACAGGAUUAGAUACCCUGGUAGUCCUAGCGGUAAACGAUGGGCACUAGGUGUCGGAAGGCGUUGACCCUUUCGGUGCCGCAGCUAACGCAUUAAGUGCCCCGCCUGGGGAGUACGAUCGCAAGAUUGAAACUCAAAGGAAUUGACGGGACCCCGCACAAGCGGUGGAGUAUGUGGUUUAAUUCGAGGCAACGCGAAGAACCUUACCUGGGCUUGACAUGCUUAGGACAAUCUGUGAAAACAGACUUUCCCUUCGGGGACCUUUGCACAGGUGCUGCAUGGCUGUCGUCAGCUCGUGCCGUGAGGUGUUGGGUUAAGUCCCGCAACGAGCGCAACCCCUGUCCAUAGUUGCCAUCAGGUAACGCUGGGGACUCUAUGGAGACCGCCGGUGAUAAGCUGGAGGAAGGUGGGGACGACGUCAAGUCCUCAUGGCCCUUACGCCCAGGGCUACACACGUACUACAAUGGCCGGUACAGUAGGUCGCAAUACCGCGAGGUGGAGCUAAUCCCUAAAACCGGCCUCAGUUCAGAUUGGAGUCUGCAACUCGACUCCAUGAAGGAGGAAUCGCUAGUAAUCGCAGAUCAGCAGGCUGCGGUGAAUACGUUCCCGGGGUUUGUACACACCGCCCGUCAAGCCACGGAAGUUAGGAGCACCCGAAGUCGUUUGUCUAACCGCAAGGAGGACGGCGCCGAAGGUGAUACUGAUGACUGGGGCU